UUUCGCGAACUCUACAAACAGCAGGACAUGAACACCCAUCAAGAUCCCAAGGUAGCCCAAGAAAUACGCCUGUCGACGUUGAAGCGCAUCCACGAGUUCGUUGUGAAGCGGAUGAAAGCCAGUCACGAGAGAAGCAAGCAGCACUAUAAUUUAAGAUCCCGUACGGUGUCAUUCAAGGUAGGUGACGUUGUCUGGCGGAGAAACUUUGGACUCUCAUCGAAGGUGGAUGGCAUAAACCAGAAGCUAAACCCGAAGUUCACUGCGGCCAUCGUUAGAGGAGUGCUAGGACACAACAUGUACUCCCUGGAAGACGUAGCAACCGGAAAGCAAGGAAAAUACCACGCCAAAGACCUCAAAGCUGAUUAGCCAGAUUUUUAUCAAGCUAUGUACGCGCCAGUUCUUGGUUGCCAACGAGAAGCCUAAACGGUUAAAACACGUGACGUAGAUUCGGUUGGAGGCCCCAGAACAUCGUAAAUGAAACCCCACCAAUCUCCACGGAAAAGUUCAGACGAACAGCUAGAUCCUCAAUACGCUUAGCCAAGUAAACAAAACUCCAUAUUCAUUAGUCUUCUUCAGGUCGUAGGGGCGGCACCACGAAAUCGAAUUGAUCUUCGGAUCCUAAGCAACGCGACCCAAGGGCGCGGUAAAACCCUUGUUCCGGGCUCGUGGUGUUUGGAGUGAUUAAGUCCACUCUUUCCUCUAAAUUACACGACCACCUCCCAACUAACUACGGUUAGUUGAGAGUUUUUUGCGUGCCGUAUCAAUCAUCCUGAUACGGACAAUUUCAAAUCGAGCCAUUUACCAAUGUUUUUCGUUUGGUGUAGAAUCUGGCAGUGGUGGUAACUAACCACGAACACAGAUCACUUGAAUGUUCACCGCUGUGGGUGACGUUUAGCAAAGCAAACAAGAACUUAGUUGGAGACGUUCUGGCCAAACUAUGUUGGCAAUCUGAUCAUCUUUUCUGAGCAGAUCUGGCUGCUGCAUCAUGUUCGUUUAGUUUGAAGUCAUUAGCGCUACCUCUGGAGAACGACAGGUUCUCGCACUUUAGCUUUCUUCAGGUUUUAUAUUUAUCAGUAUAAUCUCCAACGCACUUCUUAAGGAAGUGAUUCACGAAAAAUUCAGCCCACUCGGUAGGAUUGUGUUACAGUUAGUUUUAUAGAGCAAUUAUUUGUACUGAAAAGCGUAAAUUUGUUCAAGUGUUAAACAAACAUCGAAGGAAAACAAUUUCUAGGCAUCCCUAAAUUGUUUGAAAAGCGAAGCAAAGGAAAAAUUUUCUUGAAAUCGUCGUGACGUGUCGUGCCAGCAAAAGACUUCCGCCAAAAACGAACGAGCACCACAAGUGGCAAAGCCUCGACAACGAGCGGACAUAGUGGGUGAUAGUGCGCAGAAACCGAAUCUCCAAAGUCGGGCCGGAACGAGAUUGGCCAUAGAGAUUACGCUAGCGCAGAUCCGGUUUCUUCAGUGCAAAAACCCGCGUCACAACAUUCCGCACGUGUCGGGAGCUGUCGAGAGAACAGUCGCCCAAUCCGCUGCGCCUGGACUGUCAACGUAACGAUUUGCGGCCAACAUCGCUUUUCUGUAAGUUCAGAAUCAUCUACCAAUGUUCAUUUGAUGAUAUCCGAUUUGUAACAACAGGGAGCGUAUUGACCAGACUGUCCAGGAGACGGACCGCAGCACUCUGACACGAGGAUUGAGCACGAUCGGGCAUCCUUGCAUAAAGGCACUGUAAGUGAAGCAAAAGGCACUAUAGGCUUGAUACUAAUUGGCGUGCUUUUCAGGAAUCUAAACCACCUGCGAAUAAGCUCCAGAUCGAGCUACUCGGCAACGGAGAGAGUCUCUCUCUCUUCUUGGCGUAACGUCCUCAUUGGGACAAAGCCUGCAUCUCAGCUUAGUGUUCAAUGAGCACUUCCACAGUUAUUAACUGAGAGCUUCCUCUGCCAAUGACCAUUUUGCAUGCGUAUAUCGUGUGGCAGGCACGAAGAUACUUUAUGCCCAAGGAAGUCAAGGAAAUU